rnacentral:tRNA from 1 species
GGUGCUAUAGUCUAGGGGUAGGACGUGACAUUGUGGAGAUCACAAAAUCAGCUGUCAAAACCCGUGUUCGAAUCACGGUGGCGCCA